AGCGAACGUUUGCGGCGGGCCUAACACAUGCAAGUCGAACGGGCAGUCCCUUCGGGGGCUGUCAGUGGCGCACGGGUGCGUAACACGUAGGUAAUCAACCCUCGGGUUCGGGAUAACACUUCGAAAGGGGUGCUAAUACCGGAUGCGACGAGCGUCUCCUCGGAGAUGCACGGGAAAGAUCCGCAAGGGUCGCCCGAGGACGAGCCUGCGGCCCAUCAGCUUGUUGGUGAGGUAAUGGCUCACCAAGGCUAAGACGGGUAGCUGGUCUGAGAGGAUGAUCAGUCACACUGGAACUGAGACACGGUCCAGACUCCUACGGGAGGCAGCAGUGAGGAAUAUUGCGCAAUGGGCGAAAGCCUGACGCAGCCACGCCGCGUGAGCGAUG
rnacentral:rRNA from 1 species